AUCACUGUCUCCCAUCACUCCCAGAUGGGACCGUCUAGUUGCAGGAAAACAAGCUCAGGGCUCCCACUGAUUCUACAUUAUGCACACCAAAGAGAGUUCUAGAAAAAAUGAGAAUAAGAAAUUUACCUGUAAUCCUUGCUCAAGAAACUGAAGCUCUGAGGCCACAUUGUUCCAGCCUUUUGCAGCUCCUGCAUGUGGAUACCAGCACCAGCAGCUCCCCGACCAGGGGCCCCAGCUAAGCCCUCCCAGAGGAUGAUCUUGGCUUUGUACAUGGGGUGUCAAUAUCCUGUGAGUCCAACAGAGGGAAGACAUAAGAAUAUGGUCACCCAGGUCAAGCAAAGGGAUAUAGACCGUAUGGAAAUACAGCACCUCAGGGGUGCCUGGUGUAAUAAGAAACAACUUUAAAAAAAAAGGAGGGGAUGUGGCCCUAAAAGUUAUCAACUGUCAAUCAGACUUGACCAUGAAAAAUUGGCCAAAGAAAGAUUUGGGCCCACAGGUUUUGUACAGAGGAAAUCCAGGCUCCUAACGAUGGCGAAAGAUGGGAAUAAAAGGAUCAGAACACUGAGCUGGAUCUUCAGUUCAUUUCAGGUAUGGAGAAGGGUAAAUGGUCUUUAAAGAAGGCCGACCUCAAUGAAGGUGUCUUCCAAGGCCUUGUCCACUCAAGGACAUGUUGCAUGCCUGAAACUGAGUAUACAGGAAAAGGAUAGAAAUGGAAUAAAAUGGAAACCCAUAAAUCACACUACCCUGCUAUGCAGUUUCAAACCACUGACUUAAUGAAAUGUUGAUCCACUUUGCCAUGGAUGCCCCACUUUUUAACUCCUUCUUCAGAGUCCCAGGAGGUGAGGCUCUUCUGUUUAACUGAUUUGCAGAAUUUUUGCUUCUGCUAUUACAAUGGCUUCCAUAGUUGAGUACCAAAGACACUUUACUAUGGUGCCACAGAGAUCAUUUUGCAGAUGAGGAAACAGACUGUUCUACUACCCAGGCUUUGGUUUUUUCUACUCAGUCUUGCACAAUCUCUCACUCUCAGCCCAGAACAUUGCUGCAUUUUUGUGAGCCAUCAGCAUCCAAAGUGAACACAGGGUCUAAAUAACUGAAGAUGGCAUGAGGGAACACACAAUCAGGUCUUUAAAAAAAGAAGAAAGUGAAUAGGCAAACUGAACAGGACAUCUAGGACUGAAAAGCCUCUGUGAACAACUGGACUCAAUAUGAAAUUGGCGUGAGCUCACAGAAGACCAGCUGAGUUCCAGAUGUGGUUGGGUAGCUUGGGUUAUGGGCCCGUAUAAAAAAAAUGGUCUCUUCUUGUAAAAGGAAUUCAAAAAAAGACUAAAAGUCACCCCAAA
rnacentral:lncRNA from 1 species